AGUUGAUGUUCCCUUAUUCCUCCAGCCUGAGAAGUCCCCAUUUUGCAAUUUUGAGAAAAUUCCUGUCAUGAAUUUGUGUUUAUCUUCCCUUCCAUUUUGCUUUUGUUUUUAUUUCCAGCUAUUUAUGUUUUGAAUGGGUAAUUCAUGCAUGUUUCAUUGUCUUCAUCUUUCCUUUCCUUUCUUUCUUUCUUUCUUUUUUUCUUUCUUUCUCUCUUUCUCUCUCUUUUCUUUUCCUUCUCCUCCCCCUCCCCUCCCGUUCUUUUCCCUUUCUUUCUUUUCUGUGAGACAGGGUCUCAUUCUGUUGCCCAGGCUGGAAUGAAGUGGCUUGAUCUCGGCUCACGACAACCUCCAACUCCUCAGCUCAAUUGAUACUCCCGCCUCAGCCUCCCAAGCAGCUGGGAUUACAGGCAUGCAGCACCACUGCUGUCUAAUCUUAUUUUAUUUUUUUGUAGAGACAAGGUCUUGCUAUGUUGCCCAGAUUGGUCUGGAACUCUUGACUUCAAGCAAUCCUCCCGCCUCAGCCUCCCAAAGUGCAGGGAUUAUAGGUGUGAGCCACUGCAUUCGGCCUCAUUCACAUGUUUCAAAAAUCAAAAGGUACAAAAGGAAAAAGCGCCUUUCCCCUCUCUGGGCCUUUUAACACUUCCACAUAAAUGAAGCCAGGAACAGCAGCAGUGUCUUGAGUAGUUGGUGGAAAGAAGGUGUUGUUACAUGGGCUGCAGCCUCCAGCUAUGCUCUUUGCAGGAAUUUGAUCUUUAGUGGCCGGACCAUUGUUAGCAUUAGGUUCAGCUGAGAGUGACAGAAACCCCAAGCAACAGUGGCCUUAACAAGGUACACAUUUCUUUCUUUCUUUCUUUUUUUUUUUUAGACGGAGUUUCACUCUGUUACCCAGCCUGGAGUGCAGUGGUGCAAUCUCGGCUUACUGCAACCUCUGCCUCCUGAGUUCAAGCAAUUCUCCUGCCUCAGCCUCCUGAGUAGCUGGGACUACAGGUGCCCACUACCACGCCCAGCUAAUUUUUGUAGUUUUAGUAGAGACGGGGUUUUACCAUAUUGGUCAGGUUCUUAACUCCUGACCUCAGGUGAUCCACCUGCCUUGGCCUCCCAAAGUGCUGGGAUUACAGAUGUGAGCCACUGCACCCGGCCAGAACACACUUAUUUCUAUUUUACAUGGAUAAAGUCUUAAGGUAGGCAUCCCAAAGCUAUUAGGGUGGUUCCACAAUCAUCAAGGACCUAUCUUGUUGCUCGACCACCCUCACCACAUGGCAUCUACUUCAUGGUCCAACAUGGCUGCUUGAGCUCCAGCCAUUACAUCCUCAUUGUAGCCAUUCAGUAGGAGAAAGGGAGGAAGUUGCUUCUGUUUCAGGAUUGUCUCCCAAAGCUGCAAGGAACAUUUCCUCUUGCAAACUGUUGGCCACAGGGUGUAGUGACAGCACAUGUCAUUGUAAAGGGGGCUGGGAAGUGUAGUCUUGAUUCUGGCUUGCUGUGUCACCGCUGAUAUGUAGUGGUUCUACUACUAAGGAAGGAGAGGAGAACAACUACCAAGGCACAGCUAGCAGGCUCUGCCACGAUGCCUGAGUUUCAGAUCUUCCAGGUAGAAAAACCCCUGCCCUCAUGGAGUGCCCGCUGGAAAGGGACCGACUUCAGGCCACUUCCCGAGCGGCACUUCUCGGCAGAUCCCAGAAGCAGCAGCCAGGCUGUGCAGGGCCGCUUCCUAAGCAAGGGCGUGAGUCACACAAGCGGCCUUUGUUAGCUCAGCCAGCUCUCCUGGAAGUCCUUCUCCCAGAGCCGAGGGCCCCUUCCAGCUCUUGCUGUGCCUGAGGCAUCAUCAGGCGGUGCUGCCCGGAGAGGACGCUGUGCAGCAGUGGGCCCACCCGCUCAGCCCUCACGAGCAACGUUGCCUGGUGCUCCCCGGGUUGGGACCCGGGCCUUCUCGGCUUCUGGGGCUGGGCGGGCACCGCAGGGAACAAAGAAGCAUUCCUGAGCCUGAGCCACACGGCUCCAGGCUGACUCCCUGGAGUCUUGGAGAGGCUUGUCUUGAAUGCCUGGCUUUUUGUUUGAGAAAGAAAAGUGUUUUCCAAAGUCCCCAGGCUUCCUCUUGCAUAGAAAUCACAGGGCUCCGAGGAGCCACAGAGCAGGGUGGGAGGACAGGGCAGUCAGGACGCCCUGUCGCAGGGGACAGUGAGAAGGUGCAAGGGGUGGGGAAGUCUCGGGGCACAGGUGAAAGGGAAGACACCCCACCUCAGCCCUCCAUGGCUGUGGCCUCUGCUGGGACCGGGCGCUGGGAGAUGGGCUGUGGCGCCCACCUGGAAUCCUGCGAGGGGCGUCUGGCAGGCCUGGCUGGGUGCAGUGCAGUAGACACGGCAGUGGGCGCUCAGACACGGUUGGGGUGCGAGGGGGACCUGGGGCUGAGGUGGGGGCUCAGGGCAGGGCAUCCAUUAGAGGGGACAGACUGGGCCCCAGAAGGGGUCUCUGUGUCUCGCCCGAGCCAAGAGACUAGACUCUGAGUUCCUGCCGCCCUGGACACCCCUGCAGUGGAGCUGCUGAAGGCAGAAGCUGGCGGUCCUGGCGAGACCAAUGAUCCCUCUACAAGAAUGCCUUACUUAAUGGGACUUUCCUCACUGAGCCUCCUGCACCUGUGCAAAGCACCCCGCCCUUGGGACGUGGUGUGAGACCCCACUGGGAGGGGCAGCUAUGCCCGCAGAGACCACAGCACACCCGCCACUCCUUGUCAGGGUUUAUUUCAUCAGCUAACAUUCAUUCUCGACCUAGACAAAAACAAUUAGAUGAUUAUGACUU
rnacentral:lncRNA from 1 species